UGUGCAUGUGUGGUUAGUCCUUUUUUAAGUAGACAUUCCACAUUGGGCGCAGAGAACAAUGCUGACCAGCCAUUUAAGACUAAAAUGGUUACUGCAUGUAAUUGUACACAUCCAUGAGAAGUCUCUCUCAACAACCGUGAAUGCAUGAAAGAAAGCUAGCUCCAGCGUAGAAAGGUCCAUCUGAUGAACCAGGAAUUAAAACCAUCC
rnacentral:lncRNA from 1 species